rnacentral:misc_RNA from 1 species
UCCGGUUUGUCACGGCGGUCAGGUACAUGUCAAGCCCAGGUAAGGUUCUUCGCGUUGCGUCGAAUUAAACCACAUGCUCCGCUGCUUGUGCGGGCCCCCGUCAAUUCCUUUGAGUUUUAGCCUUGCGGCCGUACUCCCCAGGCGGGAUGCUUAAAGCGUUAGCUGCGGCACGGAGGGGGUCGACACCCCCCACACCUAGCAUCCACCGUUUAGGGCGUGGACUAC